rnacentral:rRNA from 1 species
GACGAACGCUGGCGGCGUGCUUAACACAUGCAAGUCGAACGGAAAGGCCCUGCUUUUGUGGGGUGCUCGAGUGGCGAACGGGUGAGUAACACGUGAGUAACCUGCCCUUGACUUUGGGGUAACUUCAGGAAACUGGGGCUAAUACCGGAUAGGAGCUCUUGCUGCAUGGUGGGGGUUGGAAAGAUUCGGCGGUGGGGGAUGGACUCGCGGCUUAUCAGCUGGUUGGUGUGGUAGGGGCUUACCAAGGGUUUGACGGGUAGCCGGCCUGAGAGGGGGACCGGCGUCAUUGGGACUGAGAGAGGGCCCAGACGGCAAUGGGCGGCAAUAGGGGGGAACAUUACGGAGUAGCGGCACGUCAGAUGCAGCGGCGCCGCGUGCGGAAUGACGUGCUUCGGGUUGUGAACCGCUUUCGCCUGUGACGAAGCGUGCGUGACGGUAAUGGGUAAAAAAGCAACGGCUAACUACGUG